rnacentral:siRNA from 1 species
CAAAUCAAAAUGUUGACCAGGCC